rnacentral:rRNA from 2 species
GACAGAGGUCCCGAGCGUUAGGCGGAAUCACUGGGCUUAAAGCGUGUGUAGGCGGAUGCCUAAGUACCUUGUGAAAUCCCACGGCUCACCCGUGGAACUGCUUGGUAUACUGGGUGUCUUGAGCCACUUAGGGGCUACCGGAACAAAUGGUGGAGCGGUGAAAUGCGUAGAUAUCAUUUGGAACGCCAAUGGUGAAAACAGGUAGCUGGGAGUGUGCUGACGCUGAGACACGAAAGCCAGGGGAGCAAACGGG